AAUCUGAGUUUCCAGAGACAUUUUAUAGUAAAAUCACAUGCAUGUUGGCAGGCCAGAAGCAGAAGAUCACCUUAAUAUAAAGCUCAACUGACAAGAUGCUCCACAGCUACCUGGUCUAAACGUAGGAUGAAGAAGCAUCAGUGUGGUUUGGAGGAAGACAGUGGCAGGAGUGUAAGGAGCAGAAAUGUAGAUUGUGCCCUUGUACUCUCGACAUUGAUUUGUUUUAUAGGACUGCAGUGAUCUGAAUAGAGAAGUUUAUCAUGCGGCAAUCAAUGGAGGAGGAGCCAGUGACACAACCUGGACAAGAUGACAAUGAUGUAGGUUUGGCUCAGAUCUUGGCAGAAGUGGUUGAGGAAGUGAGACUCUCAAUAGACAGAGAUACUAAUGGUGCUGAUCUUCUGUACAGUCUCCUCAGUGCUCCUUGGCUUUGCUCUCUUCUCAGGGUAUAUGAGUGUCUGGUGCAGCACAGUCGAGAUGCCCCAAGCC